AACAACUUUAUCUUAAUUAAAAGACCACUGGGAACACUUUGAAAAUAGAUCAAAAGAUGAUUGGAGUGAGCCCUAAAGAAUUUUUGCACAGGACUGUGGGUUGUUUGUAACCCCCUGCACCCCCACCGCUAAUUGAUGACCCUCCGUGAGCUGAAUUUCCUGCUCCUGCAUGCAGGCAUGUUUGCUGCACGUCUGCAGAUCUGCAGUCGUGAUAAACGGGGGCAGCGCUACUGUGGCAUUGAAGCCAGGUCUUUGUUUCACUCCUUCACCAGGACAGAGCUCCGUUCAUCUCCACCAGUCACCAUGUACGGUACAGAGCGCAUAGCACACAGCGACACACAGGCAGUGUUCAGACAUGUAAAACUGCUGCCCAAUAGGACACAGAGACCUGAACUGCAGUGGAAUUACUGAAAGGAUUCCUCCGCAGAGCUCUGAAGCAUGAUGCAUGGAGAACAACAGUUUGACCACACUCACAAUUUGUCCCAUUCACAGCGCCUUCCGUCGUCCAACGUCAAUCACGUAAAUCCCCACGUCAAUGAUGGACAGAGCAAAGGAACAGCAGGAAAGGUUGGAAUGAAUUUUUUCUUCAGGAAAGGACAGCCAUGAGGGUGUCGUCAGAUCUUACCUUUUUCCGGAGCAUAACCUGCUGCUGGGAGCUUGAAGAAAGCCGCUUAGGGUCCA